rnacentral:misc_RNA from 1 species
GAUGAAGAACGUAGCGAAAUGCGAUAAGUAGUGUGAAUUGCAGAAUUCCGUGAAUCAUCGAAUCUUUGAACGCACAUUGCGCCUUCUGGUAUUCCGGAAGGCAUGCCUGUUCGAGAGUCAUUAACAACCGUUUCGAUCCCUUUCUUUCAGAAAUUACAAAGAGGAAAAGGGUUUGGUUAUGGUGGAGGAGGGAAAGGGAGCGUUUAGCCUGUAAAAAAAGAGGCUGUGUUCCGCCUCCCCCCCAAAAUUGUACAGGCGGUCGUGUGCGCCCACGCAUCGAGGUGUUGUAAAAGCUGCCACGGCACUUUUCACCUGUGCAGUGCGAGAUUGGCCAGCCGGUUUAAAAACCCCUCCAAACAAUCAAAGGUUGACCUCGGAUCUGGUAGGGAUACCCGCUGAACUUAAGCAUAUCAAUAAGCGGAGGA